AAGGGUAACUGCCUGGGGGGUGAGCUGAGACUGACUCGCGGGGAAGAGAAAAAAACGGUUGCUCGUGUGAGGUCGUCGGUUGGUGGUGCAGAGGGGAGAGACAGAGCAGCAGCGGAGGUGUGAGCACCGGACGAUAGAGGAGAGGUGAACUUACGGAAAGAUUUGGGGGAGUGUAUCCACGAAGCUCCCUGCCACCCGCAUUGAUCGAUCCGCUGUAAGCCGAACAGAGGCGGGUGGAUCUCGUCUAUGCCCCGUCAGAAGCCGCACUGACAGAUGAAUACGAAGAACCUGCAACGAAGAAAUAGAAGGUGUAAAAGGUAACGCCGUGAUAUGAGGCAGACAACACUCACCAUUUGUCUUGCCUCAAAACUUUUUUUAACUAAACAUGAGAGAGGCACUCCAUCCACAUGGCCCCACGAUUGCCCACCUGUGCCUGCUGCUGCCAUCAGCUGCAGCGCUGCCUGCUGUGUAAAGAAAUAAUAGCGGUGACGGACAAACUGCUGCUAAUACAGCACGGGCAGCGAUGAAGCUGCCUGCUCCGUGUGCUUCGCUCCCCACCUUGACUCUGGCAGUGUCUGAGGCUGCUCUGCAGAUACAUGAUGCCAGUGAGGUGACAACGGAGGCGUAUGCAGAUUGAUUGACAGGAAGCGAACGUUUGGCGGUGGUAACUGCCCAUUUUCUGGGAGUGUCAGCUCUGACCCGAACAGCCUAUUUUCCUGUUUUUUUCGCACUGUAGAGUAAGUCCUGGGCUAUGUACAGACUGCACAGACUGGAAAAAUCAUUUGAUGCAAUGUCAUACCUCAAUCCAACAAUCAAAAAUGCAGAUUGCUGGCCAUCAAAGAUCAUCGAACUGUCAGGCAAUCAGGGAAAGUAUGAGACAGCAAAAAGGAGAAAAAAAAGACUCUUUUGUGGGCGCACUCUUAUCUUAAACUAAUGUAUGAAAUAUCGGAAUAAAUAUAAAAUUUAACUUU